GAUGAACGCUGGCGGCGUGCCUAAUACAUGCAAGUCGAGCGAACAGACGAGGAGCUUGCUCCUCUGACGUUAGCGGCGGACGGGUGAGUAACGCGUGGAUAACCUACCUAUCAGACUGGGAUAACUUCGGGAAACCGGAGCUAAUACCGGAUAAUAUAUUGAACCGCAUGGUUCAAUAGUGAAAGACGGUUGUUCGGUCACUUAUAGAUGGAUCCGCGCCGCAUUAGAUAGUUGGUAAGGUAACGGCUUACCAAGGCAACGAUGCGUAGACGAACGGAGAGGGUGAUAGGCCACACUGGAAGUGGGACACGGUCCAGACUACUAAGGGAGGCAGCAGAAGGGAAUGGUCCGCAAUGGGCGAGAGCAUGACGGAGCGGCGCCGCGUGAGUGAUGAAGGUCUUCGGAUCGUAAAACUCUGUUAUUAGGGAAGAACAAAUGUGUAAGUAAAUAUGGACGUCUUGACGGUAACUAAUCAGAAAGCCACGGCUAACUACGUG
rnacentral:rRNA from 1 species